GACCUAAACCAAGCGAGAGUUCGCAAGGCAUGGCCCAAAGACAGGUAGUGCAUAGAGAACCCUCACGGGGUUGCAUUACCUGCCAUAUCGAGAAAUCGGUAUGUCCGCUUCGGCGGA
rnacentral:sRNA from 1 species